rnacentral:rRNA from 1 species
GACGAACGCUGGCGGCGUGCUUAACACAUGCAAGUCGAGCGGAAAGGCCCCUUGUGGGUACUCGAGCGGCGAACGGGUGAGUAACACGUGAGUAAUCUGCCCUUCACUUCAGGAUAGCUCCCGGAAACGGGGAUUAAUACUGGAUAUGACGCGCCUGCGCAUGUGGGUGUGUGGAAAGUUUUUUCGGUGGGGGAUGUGCUCGCGGCCUAUCAGCUUGAUGGUGGGGUAAUGGCCUACCAUGGCUUCGACGGGUAGCCGGCCUGAGCGGGUGACCGGUCACACUGGGACUGAGACACGGCCCAGACUCCUACGGGAGGCAGCAGUGGGGAAUAUUGGACAAUGGGCGGAAGCCUGAUCCAGCUACGCCGCGUGAGGGAUGACGGCCUUCGGGUUGUAAACCUCUUUCAGCACAGACGAAGCGCAAGUGACGGUAUGUGCAGAAGAAGGACCGGCCAACUACGUGCCAGCCGCCGCCGUAACAC